CCUUCUAAGUGCUGGAAUUAAAGGUAUAUGCCAUUACAUCUGGCUAGCAUUCCAAAAUUUAAAACAAGGAGAAACUUUAUUAAACUAGAUCUUUUGGUCCAGUGGCUCUAAUGUUCUGAAGAAGUCUAUGUUUCAAGAAGCAUGCAAAUAGAACAGAAGCAGAAUUUAGCAUUCCUUGUCCUUGGCUAUGUUAAAAAUAAGGCUCUCAAUGUAAAAGAACAGUUUAAGAUGUUUGGUAUAAGCUAAACUUAAUAAAUGUAUAGCAUAUAAUUCCCCCCCCCCCCGAUUCACUAAAGUCAGGUUGAAGACCUAUGGUGGCACAUCACAGGCACAAGCUGUUGCUAUUAUUUUAUUAAAUGGAUAUGAUGUGCCUGUCAAAUCACCUUUUAAAUAUUUAUGUUUAUGUAUGCAGAAUACUAGUGCUGACAGUCUCACUUAUAGAAAACAUCUCUUUUGCAAAAGGUUACUGUAGAAAUUCAUAACUGGUCUAGUGAUUGAGGUUAAGUGACUUUUGUUUUGGCAUUUAGAAAUGAAGAAAAUAAUCAGAUAUUUGUAUCAUCCCCUCCAAGACUCAGGAAACACAGCGAAGAGAGAACAGAACUAAUUUAAGAGUUUGAAAAUGGUUUGGGCUAGUAUGUAGCUAUUUUAUCUGAAUGGAAAUAUUCCUUCCUAGAAGAAGGUAGGAUGCUUGUAAAAUUCAGGAAGCACAUGAAACCUACAAAUUCAAGAUCACAGGAUUCUGAAGUUACAGAUGAAAUAUUUUAUUGCUGUGGGAAAAUGGCACUUUGGUGUUUGCAAGUCAGGCAGGGAAGUUAGUGUUUUGUUCAUUUUUAUGACUGUUAUUCAUGCUGAAGGAGGCUUUUCAGUGAUGCCAUAUCUAAAUGUCACCCACACUCCUAUAAGUAGCACUAAUACAUUCAUUGGCUCUCGAAGUUAGAAUGGCUUCUUUGGCUUGUUGUUGGUUUCCUAGCUGUGUUGAAUAUAUAUUGUUCACGAGGUCCAAGGAGGAGUCACACAGUAGCUACUUCCCAAGGCUAUCAUGAGAAUCUGAGGAGAUUACAUUGGUCAAUCAUUUAAUACAACGAUUGGUACAUGCAUAGCUAAUAUAAGUAAAGAUUAUUAUAUCCUUCAAAGCAAGUGGUGAGGCUAGGAUAGUUCCCUUUGAGCUAUGGUGUUCUCUGGUUGACUUUUGUUUAGAAGCAGGUUCCUGACAGCCUAAUCCUACCCUUCCACCAUCACAUGUGCAGGAGCUAGGACACUGCUUCUAGAAUGUGAUUUCCUAGUAACACGAAACAUGUGAUGCUACAGGUAUAGUCAUUGGCUUGGAUUUAUUUUGUCCAGCAUGGAAUCAGGGCACCUCAAGACUUCAAAGAUUUUUGGUUGCUCUAGCCUCUUUUUAAUCACUCACCAUGGCUGAAUGACCCAUAUUUUUUCAAGACUGCUAUAAAAUAGAGAUGGAAGUGAGCGCUGAAUCUAAGCACUGUGGCUCUCUGUCAUAUAUAUUUUCUUGGUUUCUAUCCAGCCUUAUUUUAAAUAUCCCCAGGGAUGGGCUUUCAUCACUUUACUUGGAAGAUUUUCGUGUACAGUAAUUUUUACUGUCAGAAAAUUUUCUCUCUCAUUUGGGGUGAAAUUUUCUUUUUGUUCUUUCUUUUUUUAAAAAAUUACUCUAUUAGUUAUUCUGUGCUAAAUCUGAUUAAAUAAUUCUUCCUGCCUACUUAGUAUUUCUCCUGUCAGAUUUUUGCAGUCAGUUAUUAGCCCCCCCCCAAUCAUUAUUUUUCAACCCCAGACAUCCUCUUUAUCUUUAAUCACUUUUCCUAACUCACUCCUCUAUCACUGUGAUCAUUAUUCUCACUGUUCUGAAUUAAUACACCUACUUUUUGGAAGGUGACUUCAGUAUCUUAAGUUUAAUGCUCCCUUGAAAGUAAAACACACUAACAUCUGUUUUACAUUUUACUGAAACGUUACAUUGCAAUCUUGUAAAUAAAACCAAAUUAACCUACUGUUUUAACAAUGGUUAUUGUUACUUUGCACUUUUCCUUUUUCCUUUUGAAGCAUUUGAAGUACUGAUAUUUUUGUCUACUCGGUGGCAGUUUGUAGGAAGUGUUGUGCUAAAUACUUCCUCUGCACUGUCCUAGCUGCCAUUCCUGCAGCAUGUGUGUGAGCAUUCUAACUCCCAUUUCACAUCUGGGGAAACUAAGGUUCAGAGAAGUUUAAUCAGUUUGCCUAACCUCUGGCUCCAGAGACUACUCACCUUUUUAUGGGCGAGUAAUUUCAAAGAAUCUGCAGCAACUUUUAUAAGUUCCAGACUUCAGCAGACCCUCCUGGUAAAGACAUGAGACCUUGUUCGGUGGCUGUGCAGAGCCACCCUCCUGCCACCCAAAUGGAAAUACUUCACAGUUGCUCUGAAAAUAGGAGCUGCUAAGUCUGUCACAUUCAGAGGGAGAUUUCACAGUCCUCUAAGUUCAAGGUAAUUUCUUUAACUUUUUCCCCAUCAACUUUCAGGAUCUUGUGUAAUUUGGGUGGAUGUAACUGCUUUUUUCCUUAAUUCCAAUCCAUCAUUCUGAUCCAUCAAUCUGUCUCCUCUUGCAUUGUAGGUCACACUACUGAGGUUAUCUUAAUGAUGGGUGACACUUUCCCAGAGAAAGUAGUUGGUAGGUCUUGAAUAGCCUUGGUUUCCUCCAUUGCCGUCCAUUUUUGUUUUGUUAUUCUCUGAGGUACAGAUCUGUUGAUGCCAUCAACACCUCUCAGAGUGAUCUUACGAGUUCAAAACAUUUCUUUUACUGCUUUAUUUUCUCUUUCCAGUCUUUUGUUUUCCUUGUGACUUUCUUCUUGUUAAAAAGUCAUUCAUGCACCAUGCACCACCUGAUGCCUAGGCCAAUUUUCAGCAGUUAGUUUUUCCCAUGGUCUAUCCUGCUCACUGGCUGAGAAUCAGAGAACCCAAUGGCUGAACAGAUGACUGCUUGCAAACUUUCCAGAUCUGUGACUCAGGUCUUGAGCCAGUAUGUAGAAGGUACCCUCGAGACCCUCGAAUAACUGGACCUGCUGGAUGGGUCAAGUGGCGCCAGACGUGGGGCACGAGGUACGACCACCGUCCGGACAACGGAUUCAAGAGGUACCACUCAGACAGUGAGACAGUUCCCUGCCACUUUGCUCGAGUGUUGCGGACGUCGAGAGCGCAUCUGUUUCAGUUCAUUACCAUCGGCUGGAUGUUGGUGAUAACAAGCAGGUUACUGGAGAAGAGUCAGACGUGGAUGCAGCUUCAUCACCCUUGUCUUGGGGGAGAGAGACUCAAUUUCCAUAAAAUGCUUAAGCAAGAUCAUUCCCUUCCCCCUAAAUUCAGCCUCAUACCACGAAUCAUUUAUAGAUUGCCAUAGUCUGUGCUUCCGACAUGGUAAUAUACAUUCUCACCACAUUGGAAACUAAACAGUCAUCCCAGGCUAGACACAUCGUAAAAUUGGAACUUGAAGCCAUCGGCUGUGAGAGUUGUAAGGCUAAAGCACUGCACAGAGAUUAGUCUGGAAGCUGUUAGACAGUCUCUGAGAGGCAUGUCGGAUUGCAUGAAGGUUGAGUGCCCUAGGGUCCUUCCCCCAGGAAAAAAACGGCACGGGAGCAGGUCAGGGUUACUCUGGGUAAAAAUCUGUGGACCUGAGAGUCAAUCCUGUACAUGGCCCUUAACAUUGCACACUGGGGAUCAGACCUCUACCUCUACCCACGGAGCUUGCUUUGUUCCUAAAUCCCUUGGUUAGCCCAAGUUAUACCCAAAAGACUGGAACCGUUAAUUCAAGCCUCAUAGAUGACUUGUCCUUGUGUCCUUCAUGGUUUUAGAGAAUCACCCAGUGAACAAACAGACGUUUAGGCAGUCGUUAAAAACGUGGCUACAAAUUUAUUAUACAAUAUGCCUUUAUAAAAAUAUUAAAACAGGGGAGAUAUUGGGAGCUAUUAAGACAACACCAUUGUCCUGAUCUCUGAAUUGGGCCUCUCCCCCUGAGAAGAAAAGGGGGUCAAAAGCGGGCCACUGAUGCACCGUUCUGAGAACAACCACAGAAUGUUCCAGUCCUAAGUCAGUGCCAGAUGUCCUGACCUCAAGAUGUACCCUGAUACCGCCAAGUUCCUGCUUCCCCAUGUAGUCGCCAAAAGAAAAAUUUCUGCUGCCCCAUCCCUCCUGCUGAGGUGCAUUUCUGCUGCCCCAUUCCUCCUGCUGAGAAGUACUUCCCCUUUUGCUUGUGCAUUUAAACCUUGAGCCUUGCUAAUACAGUGAGACCUUGAUGUUACUCA